UACAUGUGGCUGCCGAGGCGCGCCUACCUGCAGUCGAACGGUACAGGAAGCCCUUGCUGCUUCGCUGACGAGUGGCGGACGGGUGAGUAAUGUCUGGGAAACUGCCUGAUGGAGGGGGAUAACUACUGGAAACGGUAGCUAAUACCGCAUAACGUCGCAAGACCAAAGAGGGGGACCUUCGGGCCUCUUGCCAUCAGAUGUGCCCAGUUGGUUAGUAUGGUGGGGGUAAGUCUACCGUAGGCGAUCGAUCCUAGCUGUCUGAGAGAUGAGCGCCACACUGGAACUGAGACUCGUCCAACUCUACUGGAGGCAGCAGUGGAAUAUUGCACUCAAUUGGCAGCAGCCUGAUGCAGCCAUUGCCGCGUGUAUGAGACUUCGGGUUGUAAAGUACUUUCAGCUGGGGAGGAAGCGAUUGUGGUUAAUAACGCGUCGAUUGACGUUACCCGCAGAAGAAGCACCGGCUAACUCCGUGCCAGCAGCCGCGGUAAUACGGAGGGUGCAGAGCGUUAAUCGGAAUUUACUGGGCGUAAAGCGCACGCAGGCGGUCUGUCAAGUCGGAUGUGAAAUCCCCGGGCUCAACCUGGGAACUGCAUCCGAAACUGGCAGCUUGAGUCUCGUAGAGGGGGGUAGAAUUCCAGGUGUAGCGGUGAAAUGCGUAGAGAUCUGGAGGAAUACCGGUGGCGAAGCGCCCCCUGGACGAAGACUGACGCUAGGUGCGAAAGCGUGGGGAGCAAACAGAUUAGAUACCCUGGUAUCCACGCCGUAAACGAUGUCGACUUGGAGUUGUGCCCUUGAGGCGUGGCUUCCGGAGCUAACGCGUUAAGUCACCGCCUGGGGAGUACGGCCGCAGUUAAAAACUCAAAUGAAUUGACGGGGGGCCCAGCACAAGCGGUGGAUGCAUGUUGUUUAAUUUCGAUGCAACGCGAAACCUCUACCUGGUCUUGACAUCCACAGAACUUUUGCAGAGAUGUUUGGUGCUUCAGGAACUAGUGAAGAACAGGUGCUGCAUGGGCUGUCGUCAGCUCGUGUUGAAAUGUUGGGUAAGUCCCCAACGAACCACCUUAUUCUUUGUGCCAGCGGUCCGGCCGGGUAACUCAAGGAAGACUUGCCAGUGAAUAAACUUGAGGGAAAGGGGUGGGGAAUGACGUCAAGUCAUUCUGGUCCUUACCAGAGCCAGGGCUACACACGUGCCUGACAAUGGCAUACAAAAGAAGCCUACUUCGCGAGCAACACCUCUAGGCGCGUAGUCCGGAUUGGAGUCUGCAACUCGACUCCAUGAAGUCGGAAUCGCUAGUAAUCGUGAAUCAGAAUGUCACGGUGAAUACGUUCCCGGGCCUUGUACACACCGCCCGUCACACCAUGGGAGUGGGUUGCAAAAGAAGUAGGUAGCUUAACCUUCGGGAGGGCGCUUACCACUUUUGAUUAAGGUGGU
rnacentral:rRNA from 1 species